AUUGAACGCUGGCGGAAUGCUUUACACAUGCAAGUCGAGCGGCAGCGCGGGGCAACCUGGCGGCGAGCGGCGAACGGGUGAGUAAUGCAUCGGAACGUACCCAGUCGUGGGGGAUAACUGUCCGAAAGGACAGCUAAUACCGCAUACGUCCUGAGGGAGAAAGCGGGGGAUCGCAAGACCUCGCGCGAUUGGAGCGGCCGAUGCCGGAUUAGCUAGUUGGUAGGGUAAAGGCCUACCAAGGCGACGAUCCGUAGCUGGUCUGAGAGGACGACCAGCCACACUGGAACUGAGACGCGGUCCAGACUCCUACGGGAGGCAGCAGUGGGGAAUUUUGGACAAUGGGGGCAACCCUGAUCCAGCCAUUCCGCGUGAGUGAAGAAGGUCUUCGGGUUGUAAAGCUCUUUCGGCAGGAACGAAACGGUGAGGGCUAAUACCCUUUACUAAUGACGGUACCUGAAGAAGAAGCACCGGCUAACUACGUGCCAGCAGCCGCGGUAAAGUAGACGUC
rnacentral:rRNA from 1 species